rnacentral:rRNA from 1 species
AGAGUUUGAUCAUGGCUCAGGAUGAACGCUGGCGGCGUGCCUAACACAUGCAAGUCGAACGAAGAGGCCCCUUCGGGGGUACUUCAGUGGCGGACGGGUGAGUAACACGUAGGUGACCUGCCCCGAAGUGUGGAAUAACAGUCCGAAAGGAUUGCUAAUACCGCAUGUGGUCUGUGAGGUUAGAGUCUUGCAGACUAAAGCAGUAAUGUGCUUCGGGAGGGGCCUGCGCCCCAUCAGCUAGUUGGUAGGGUAAUGGCCUACCAAGGCAACAACGGGUAGGGGGCCUGAGAGGGUGACCCCCCACAUUGGCACUGACACACGGGCCAAACUCCUACGGGAGGCAGCAGUGAGGAAUAUUGCUCAAUGGGCGAAAGCCUGAAGCAGCAACGCCGCGUGCGCGAUGAAGGCCUUCGGGUCGUAAAGCGCUUUUGAGAGGGACGAGAUAGGACGGUACCUUUCGAAUAAGUCACGGCUAACUACGUGCCAGCAGCCGCGGUAAAACGUAGGUGGCAAGCGUUAUCCGGAUUCACUGGGCGUAAAGCGCGUGCAGGUGGCUUCGCAAGUUGGACGUUAAAUCUCCCGGCCUAACCGGGAGGAGUCGUUCAAUACUGCGGGGCUGGAGGGCAGAAGAGGGGGGUGGAAUUGCUGGUGUAGUGGUGAAAUGCGUAGAUAUCAGCAGGAACACCCGUGGCGAAAGCGGCCCCCUGGUCUGCUCCUGACACUCAGACGCGAAAGCUAGGGGAGUGAACGGGAUUAGAAACCCCGGUAAUCCUAGCCGUAAACGAUGGAUGCUAGGUGUGGGUGGUAUUGACCCCAUCCGUGCCGAAGCCAACGCGUUAAGCAUCCCGCCUGGGGACUACGGCCGCAAGGUUAAAACUCAAAUGAAUUGACGG